rnacentral:rRNA from 1 species
CCUACGGGUGGCAGCAGUGAGGAAUAUUGGUCAAUGGCCGGAAGGCUGAACCAGCCAAGUCGCGUGAGGGACGACUACCCUAUGGGUUGUAAACCCCUUUUAUAAGGGAAGAAUAAAUGCUACGUGUAGCAUGAUGCCUGUACCUUAUGAAUAAGCAUCGGUUAACUCCGUGCCAGCAGCAGCGGUAAUACUGAGGAUGCGACCGUUAUCCGGAUUUAUUGGGUUAAAAGGGUGGGUGGGCGGUUUUUUAAGUUAGUGGUUAAACGUCGGGGCUUCACCUUGAUUUGCCAUUGAUACUGUAAGACUCGAGUGCAGGCGAGGUAGGCGGAAUAAGUUGAGUAGCGGUGAAAUGCGUAGAUAUAACGAGGAACACCGGUGGCGAAGGCAGCUUACUGGACUGCAACUGACGCUGAGGCACGAGAGCGUGGGUAGCGAACAGGAUUAGAUACCCCUGUAGUC